CUGCUCACCCGCUGUCUCCUUCCUUUCUUCCCUGCAGAUCGGAUGCUCCUCGGAUGCCGCCCGCCCCCCCCAUCCCAACGGGCCUCCCCCCAGACUGGAUCCAGCUUCAGAUCCAACUGGGUUACGUGUUAUAACCACGGUGAUUUGGUCAGAUAUGGGUUGUGAUAUCAUAUAUAAAGUCGAGCCUGUCCCGAGGCCACCACAACUGUUGAGGCACCUGGAUGCGGCACAUUAUUAGCGAUGCUUCAGGCAGAGGGACCUGGCGGCACCCAGCUUCUCAGCAGGUAGGGCCUCCUGUUGGUUCACAGGGAGCUUGGCCACCCUGGCAUGGCCAGUGAUUUUAGUUGUGCAUGGUAUGCGCACCCCACUCCUGCCCCGGGUGACCUGGGGGAGGCGGUGCCAGGUUAGUCGCCAACAACCUGGCCAUGGAAUGGGCUGUGCUGGCGGAAAGGGACUGAAGAGCGGGUGGGAGAGGCCUGGCAGAGUGUGUGUGUAUUGGUAGUUAUAUAGCUCUAGUGAUAGCCCUGGCUGGCCAGCUAGAUAGCUCUGGCUGGCUGGCUAGAUGGUUAUAAUAAAAUGUAGGCAGAAUAAUCCAUGUUCUCAUCAGUGAGGACCUGGGACCCAAUACCCCUAACAAGGCCGCGUCAUGGUGUUACUGUGUUGACAGCAAUCAUGUGCAUAGCAAUAGGUGCUUUUAAGUGUGAUGUGAACAGAUUGAUCAGGCAGCCGUUCUCACGUGUGUCCCAGGGCAAACAAGGCCUGUGGUCCCUCAGGCCAGCUGCCACUGGUCUCGGCCUCUCGGGGUUUUCUCGGUCUUCCCAGGCUCUCAGGGUUUUCAGGGAACCGAAGUUUGUCUGUGAGCACAUUUGCAAACCCGUGCACGUGCAUCUGUUCACCUGGGUCUAAUCUGACCCCACGUGCCGCCCCCUGGUCGUAGCAGCCAUGGCUCUUCUCCAACACCGCAGUUCUUAGCAGGGGUGUGUGCAGUGGUGUGUGCAGAGCUGACAGAGCUCUGUUUUUGUGUGCACGUGUGCAUAGUCCUCUUUUAUCUACCUGCCUGCGUAUCCACCUACUUGCCUGCUUAACUAGCUACCUACCUACCUGCUUGCUUGCCUAUCUACCUACUUGUCUACCUUCCUGCCUGCCUGUCUACCUAUCUAAAUCCAUAUACCUAUAUAUGUCUCCCCCUGUAUCUCUCUCUAGAUUGAUAGAUGAGACGUCACCGCAUCUCUGCAGUUAUCCGUGUACAUAGUCAUAUAUAAAUCUCUCUCUCUAUAUACACAUACAUGCAGCUACCUGCGUAUAACCCUGCAUAUAUCUGUGUGCGCGUGUGUACAGAUAGAAAUAUAGACAUCUCUGUUUCUAUUUCUAUCUAUCUAUCCAUCCCUCUGUCAACCUAGGCAGACCAACACAGAUGGGUAGAGAGAUAUUGUAUAUUCUCGCUCUUUUUAUAGAGAGAUGAUACAUAUUCAACUCAGUCUGGCAGUAAGUAACUUUCCACAUUAAUACAUGUUAAUCUAGUCCUGUUGAUUUGAAUCUCCAGUGUUGUCUAGCACAGGGGCGGGCAAUUAUUUCAGGCAGAGGGCAGCUAACUGAAUUUUGGCAACCCAUCAAGGGCCACAUGGCAGGCAGCCAGGGGCAGAUUAAUAUUAAUUUUCUAAAUUUUUUAGGGGCCCUGCGGGCUGGCUACAAUGGCCUGGCAGGCUGCAUCUGGCCCACGGGCUGCAUUUUGCCCACCCCUUGUCUAACAUCUGUAUGUGCGCGCACGUGUGUGUGUAUAGCAAUCUAUAUCAAUAUAUCUAAUAAUCUGUCCGCAUACAUGUAUAUGAAUCCGCAUAUACACACGUAUAUUUAUACAUGAAUGUAUACGGAUCCUGAUAGACAUACGUAUAUUUAUACGUGUAUGUAUAUGGCUCUAGAUACACACGUAAAAAUAUACAUAUGCAUAUAUGGAUCGAGGUACACACAUGUGUAUUUAUACAUGUAUGUAUAUGUUUAUAUCUGUGCCUAGGUACACAUACGUGUAGAUAUGUGCGCGCGCACACACACAUCUAGAUUAAUAUAUGUAUACAUGCAUAUAUGUAGGUAGAUUAUUAGGUAUAUUGAUGUGGGUAGCUUUGUACAUGUAUAUGUGCACACACAGAUAUAUGAGAGAUGGCUACAAAUUAGGAUAUAUAUGUUAAUGUAAUUGUGCUGUGUGUAUUGUACAUAUAUUUAUAUAUCUAUUAGGUAUAUAUCUAUAUACAUGUAUGUGUAUAUGUGUACCUACAUAUAGCACACACAGAGGUUGAUCUAUCUGUAUUCUGCAUAGUCUGCAUGUGUAUGUAUUUAUAUACAUAUGCAUGCAUUUGUUUGUGCAUCUGUGUGUAUUAUACAUGUAACAUGCAGGGGUUUAUACAUAUGCUGAUACUUUUGUGUGUGUGAGUAUAUAUACCUGUGUGUGUGUAAAAUGCAUAUAUACAUAUAUCAACCUCUGUGUUAUGCAUGUGUGUGUAUAAUAUGCACAUAUAUUCAUGUAUACAGUGUGUGUAGUAUAUAUCUAUUAUACCUACACACACACACACUGGUAUAGGUAUAUGUGUGUAUAUAGGUGUAUGUAUGUAUGUAUACGUGUGUGCGUGCAUGUGUGUGUGUAUUCAUUCUGCAUUGUGUGCAUGGUGUGUGUAUAUAUACAUGCAUACACGCACGUGUGUACACAUGCAUGUGCACGUGUGUACAUAUAACAUGCAGGUUGAUAUAUGUAUAUUUUACAUAUAUAUCAACAUAUGAUAUUUGCAAAAUAUACAAGCCCUGUGUAUCAAAUAUGAUAUUUGCAAAAUAUUACAUUGCAAAAUAUACAUAUACACACAUGGGAGUGUGUAUUAUCUAUAUAUAUUAUAAUACACACAGGUCAAUAUAUGCAUGUUCUAUGCAUGUGCACACACAAACACAUGCACGCACACAGACACACUCAGAUGCUCUCGCAUACACAUGCACACUCAUACAAACACACAUACACACCCACACACCAACUCCCACACACACGCAGAUUGCUAUAUGUAUAUUUUGCAUACUCUGUGUGUGGGGGGGGGUGUAUUAUAUACAUAUAUUAUAAUACACACAGAGGUCAAUAUAUGUAUGUUCUACGCACGCACACACACAAAUGCAUGCACGUGCACAAACACACUCACACAAAUGCGCUCAUGAUGUCAUGCGCCCUCGGCUGCCAAGCUGUGCUGCGAGAUCAUCGCUGCUCUGCUAAAGAGCCAGGCAAGGCGCAGGUCCACCCACCGCCUGCGCACAACACCCGCGCCUGCCGGUCGCCAUAAACCCGUAGAUCCGAACUUGCGGUCGCUCCUCGUGCAAGCUCGACUCUGUGGGUCUGUGUCGGCCUCGGCCUUGACAUCGGGACGCUCCAGCCCACCCCCCCACCCGGAGCUUGGCCACGCCCCCUGGCCUGAAGGCUCAGCUCACCGAUCCACUGAGCCCACCAGAUCGUCUGGCUCCACCCACCUGCCCGCAGACUCCGCCUACCUGUCUUUCUGGUCCCUGCUGGCUCCACCCAGCCUGGGCCUUGCUGCCUAGCUCCGCCCACCACUCUGCUAGCCCCACCCCCUCCAGCUGGCUCCACCCCCUGCUGUUGGGUGGGGGCCGGGGUGAGGUAGUAGGUUGUAUGGUUUAGAGUCACACCCCCGGAGAUAACUGUACAGCCUCCUAGCUUUCCCCGCGCCCCCCCAGUGCCUCCCAGUGCUUCCCAGUACCAGCCUGCGAUCCCCACAGGCAUUGCAGCUCACACCGAGGUGAGUGAUGGGACAAGGAAGGGGGGUGGAUUGUGGAGUUGUGUUGCGUUGCAUAGCUUUUCAGGGGGGUGGAGGGGGUUGUGGAUCUCCUGUGUUGGUUUCAAGAUGUUGUGGGUGGUUUGCGGGGGUGAUGAGGUUGUGGUGGUUGGUGGAGGUGUGUUGUGUUGCAUUGUGUAGCUCUUAGGGGGGCCAUAUGUGGGUGUGAGGGUGUUGUGGGUUUUCUGUGUUGAGUUGUGGGUGGCUUGGAGGUGUGAUGGGAGUUGUGUUGUAUUGUGUUGUAUAGCAGGUAUGUUUGCAUGUUCCAGGCCAUGGAGGGGAGCUGUGUGGGGUUGUGUUGCAGUGUGUGUUGGGGGACGGGAUGUGAUCUAGGGGGAUUGUAAUAGUGUAUGUGUGUGUCUAGCAGGACUGGGCAGGAUAGGAGUGUUUUCGACUGCUGCGUGGGUUGCGUUAAAGGUGGUGUUGCCCUGUGCUGUUGUAUUGUGGGGGGGGCGGGGGCUUGCAGUGUGUUGCCUUAUGUUAUGUUGUGGGUUGUGUUGCUUUAUAGCAUUGAGUGGCAAGUAUCAUCUUGGGGGUUGUGUGUUGCCUUUUGCAGUGUUGCUUAGUUGGCGGGUGUUUUGUGUUGCCCUGUGAUGUGGUGUGUAUGGGGUUGUGGGUUGCAUGUGGUGUGUAUGGGCACGGGUGGUUGUGUUUAUCUCUGUCAUUGUGCAUUGUCCUUUGGUGGUGUCGGGUGGCGCGUGUGUUGAGGUUGUGUGCUGCCUUGUGUUGCGCUGCCCUGGUUGUGUAUUGUGGGACUGUGUUCAGCCCUAUGUUGUUGAGCGUUGCGGUGUGAUGGGUGUGGGGUUGUGUGUAGUCCUGCAUCACUGUGCUGUUGUGUGUUGCUGUGCAGAGCAGGGUUGUCUGUUGUGUGUCGCACUGUGUUGUAUGCUGAGUGGGGUUGUGUACAGCACGGUGUGUCUCCAUGUGGGAUUGUGUUGUGGGUUGCCUUGUGUCAAUUGUGUUGAGUGUAGCUCUGUGUCAUCACAUGUUCUCAUGUGGGGUUGUGCGUACCUUGUGUUGUGGGUGUGUCAUUGUGUGUCACUGCACGAGGUUGGUUGUGCCUCGUCCUGUGUCCUUGUGUGUUGUGUGUCAUUGGGGUUGUGUGUAGCACCAUGUCCCUGUGUGUUGUGUAUCACCACAAGGUCCUCUGUGUCACCGUGUGGGGUUGUGUGUCGUCCUGUUCUGUGUUGUGUGCAUUGCAUUGUGUGUCACAAUAUAUUGUGUGUGUUUGGGCGGGGUUAUAUGUAGCCCUGUGUGUUGUAUGUCACUGUUGUCAUGUGUUGCCGUGUGUGUUGUGUGCCACUGUGUUGCCCUGUGCCCCUGUGUGUAGUUGUGUGGGGUUGUGUGUUGCUGUGUUCCUGUGUGCAUCUCCCUGUGUGUCGCCGUGUGUGUUUCCCUGUGUUUUGUGUUUCCCUGUGUCCUGGUGUGUUGUUGUGUGUCACUGUGUUGCCUUCUGUCCCUGCAUGUUGUAUGUCACUGUCAUGUAUUGCCAUAUGUUGUGUGGGGUUAUGUGUUGCCCUGUGUCCCUGUGUGUUGUGUCAUCCUGUGUAUUGUCCUGUGUGUUGUGUCGGGUUGCGUUGCCUCGUGUCCGUACGUGCUGUUGUGUGGGGUUGCGUGUUGCCCUGUUUCCCUAUGUGUUGCAUCUCCCUGUGUGUUGCCCUGCAUCCUUGUGUGUUGUUGUGUGGUGCCUUGUGUCCCUGCGCAUUGUGCUUACCCAUGUCUCAUUGUGUGUUACGUGAAGCCAUGGGCCCCUGUGUUACCCCAUGGUGCGGCCCACAGCUGCACCGGUGGCGUUGUGCUGUGUUGUGUACCCCCCCUCCCCCCCCCUCCCCCCCGCCCAGCCCACAGCCGCAAUGCGAUAGACGACAGCGCGGCCAGAGCCGACGCGCGCACACACACACGGGGAUGGAGGCGUGGAGCAAGGGCAGGUCAGAGCUGGGGGUGUCGGAGCAAGGGAGCGUGGGAAGGAGGAGGGGGGUGUCAGUUCCCUAGGGGAAGGGGGGGGCUCAGGUGUCUGGGGAGAGGGGGGAGUGGCCCAGACGCCUGGGUUCUGCAUGUGCAUGUCUGUCUGUGUGUGUGUAUGUGUGUGCGCGCAUGUCUAGCUCAUGGGCGCCUAGGGUGUGGGUGUGUAUCUUUCUCCAGAUGCCUGGGUUCUGUGUGUAUGUGGGCCUGGAUGCCUGGGUUCAGUGCGUGUCCAUCUGUCUCCCAGACGCCUGGGUUGUCUUUGUGUGGGGCCUGGAUGCCUGGGUUCAGUGUGCGUGUCCCAGAUGCCUGUGUUGUGUGUCUCUGUGGGCCUGGACACCUGAGUUCUGUGUGUGUGUGUGUUUGUGUGUGUGUGUGUGUGUGUGUGCACGCGUCUCCUGGAUGCCUGGCUUCUGAGUGGGUUGUGUGUGUGUGUCUGAUGUGUCCGUCCAGAUUCUUGGGUUCAGUGUGCAUGUAUCUGUCUUUCCCCAGACACCUGAAUUGCGUGUGUGUGUAUGUCGGAUGCUUGGGUUCCUUUUGUGUGCGUGUCUUUGUGGCUGUCUGUCUUUCUCUUGGAUGCCUGGGAGGGUGUCUUUCUCCAGACACCUGGAUGUGUGUGUGUGUGUGUGUGUAUCUGUAUCUGUCUCCUGGACGCCUGGCUCCUGGGUGUGUGUAUCCGGAUUCCUGGGUUCAGUGUGUUUGUUUGUGUCUGUCUUUCUCCCACAUGCCUGGGUUGUGUGUGGGGAGGAGGGGCAGAUGCCUGGGUUUCUUGUGUAUGUGUAUCAUGGACACCUGGGUCUGUGUGUGUCUCUCCCUGGUGCUAGGCUCUGGGUGUGUGUGUAGGCCCAGACACCUGGGUUCUCUGCCUGCACAUGUGUGUGGAGAGGGGUGUGUCUGGGCAUCGUGUGUGAGAGAGACUCGCAGUGUCAUGGUGUGUGUGUGUGCAUGAGUGUCUGGGCCAUCAGUGUGUGUGGGUGUGAGAGGGGGGCACCAUAUGUGCAGUGAGGGGUCUGUAUCUGUCUCUCUUCAGGAUGUGUGUGUGUGUGUGGGGGGACGCCUGAGUUGUGUGUGUGCCUGUGUCCUGGACGUCUGGGUUGUGUGUGCGUGUCCCAGAUGCUAUGCGUAUGCGUGCAUGUGUGCAUGGGGAUUGCCAUGGGCGGGGACGCCGGUGGCUCUGGGCUCGGGGGGGGGGGGGGGGGUGGGGGGGGGGGGGCUGAACCCCACAUUCAGGUGCCAUCAGUGAAGCCCCACCCUCAUCUGGAGCUCUGCCCCCCCACUCCAGGCUCCGCCCCCUAUCAUGGUGAGUGAUGUCACUACCUGAUCAAUACCUCCCCUAUCACCCAGAUCCAUCCCAUCCCCAAUCCAUCAACCUGCCAACAGCCAAUCAGCUCCUGGUGGCCAUGGUCUCCGGCCCCUCCGAUUGGCUCCUGGUUCACCGAGCGAAUCCCGAGCCCGGCCACUGACCCCCUAUGAACGCUCCCUGGACGCGGCCGUGGCCUGGACAUGGCAGGAGGUGGCCAAGAUCCCACCAGCCCCAGCCUGUGUCCCACCCUGCGGCUACCAGCAGGAUGCCCAGGUCUAUAAAUGCGCUGUCUGCCGAUUGUGGACUGCCAGCUGCCCCUGGACUGCCCGGUGGAGGAUGUGUGGCGCGAGGAGGGUGACCGGGUGUCCCUGCGCUGCUCCCUGCCUUUUCCAACACCCCCAGAUGUGGUGGCCACGUGGGGUUUCGCCAAGGACGUGCGCAGCCAGGACCUGUCGUUAUUCGGGGAGGCGGGGGUGGCUGGAGGCUUGGCCCGGGGGUUCGUGAUCCGGUCAGCCCAGGCCUUGCAACGCGGCACCUUCCUCUGCCGGCUCCAUGCUGGGGCCCAGCUGCUCGCCCGGCGCUACUUCUACCUCAACGGUGCGGUGGAUGCGUGGGGCCCUGGAGCCCGGACACCAGGGUCCUGUGGGGGCUGGGGGGGUUGACAAUAGGCGGACCUGGGCACCUGGAUCCUUUAGGAGGGCCAACGGGGCCCGUGGGAGGUAGAGUUGUGGGGCAGGGACCCCGGAUGCCUGGAUUCUCUCCAUCUUGGGGGGAAUGGGGGUGAGAGCAGGGGGGGCUGGGAGGCUGGACACCUGGGUUCUCCGGGCAGGCGGUGGGGCUGGUUUGGGGGUCAGUCCAGGCCUCCCCAGAUGCUGGGGUUCCCUCUGCACUAGGGAGUGACCCGGUGCUGGGGUUUGCUGUGCCCACAGUGACGGCGCGCCGGGGGGGGCCCGGAGCAGGGGCUGCAAGCCACGUUCGGGGCGGUGCUGGCGGCAGGCUCCGGGGGGCCAGGGGGAAGUGGAGAGGGCCAGGCUGGGUCUGCGGGCCCUGCUGGCUGCCCCUGGCUCUCUGCACUCCCGUCCAGCUCUGCUGCUGGGCCUGGGGCUGGCGCUCAGCGCCUUGCUGGGCACCCUGCUGCUGGGGUGAGUUCCCCCACCACUCCUCAUUGAUCGGCCCCAUGGACUCUCUCCCCCCCCCAUGGCCCCCAGUGGACUUUCCCACUUCCCCAUAGACCAGCUCGUGGACUCUCCCAUCCCCCCGCCCCCCUACCCAGGGGCGGUCUUGAGGGCUUACCCCUGAGCCCCAGUGACGUGUCUCCUCCCCCGCAGGGCAGCGCUGUAUUGGCUGUGGACGGAGUCAUGAACCCCACUAUGGACCACAAUAAACUCAACCCCAGUAGCCUCGUUCUGGGCUGGGGGGCUCAGACGCCUGGGUUCCUUUUUGGGGGGGUCUUGCCCGGCCUUGUGGGGGGCGGGCUCGGACGCCUGGGCUCUCUAGGUGAAGGGCAGGGUUCAAUCCAGCCACCCUGGAAGUUCCCACGGGGAGCCCCGCCCCCUAUUCCACAGGAUGUCCUUGUAUGGGCUGUGACGUCAGGGCGGGGAUCCCCCUCCGCCGGCUCCGCCCCCUGGCGGCGAAGCGGCGCCGCGUGGCCAGAGCAGAAGCAGCAGCGGCCAGGACUGCAACGAGGAGCAGAGGACCCCAGGCGUCCAAGGCCAUGCGGGAGGAGGGUGGAGGCAGGCGCCCGGUUCCUGGCGCAGCUGCUGAUGCGGGGGAUACCUGGGGGGACGGAGGAGCUAGGUGCCCACCUGGCCACGGCCCUGAGCCAGCGCUACCACAGCCACUGGUACCCCGGCCCAGCCGGCCCGUGGCCAGGCCUACAGGUGUAUCCGCAUCGAGGCAGGGACACGGGCAGAUGCAGCUCUGGUGGGGGCUGCCCAGGCCGCAGGGCUGGACUGGGCCAUGCUAACGCUGCCCCCCGACCUCGCCCUCUGGAUCGACCCUGGCGAGGUCAGCUGCAGGCUGGGUGAACACAACCCCCCGUUCCGGAUUGGGCCGCUGGUGACCUCCGACCCCGAGACCCCAGAGAGCCCUCAGCCUCGCCAACCCUGUCGGACAUGACCUCAUCAGUGAUGUCAUCAGAGGAUGAAGCCCCACCCCCACAGCGACGACCAUGCCCCAGUCGCACCCUGCCGCGGAAGCCCUGUGCCCAGGCAUGCGAGGUGCUGUACGUCCCAGCCCCACUGUGGCUACCUGGCCCCCAGCCCCUGGUGGGCUUCGUCCCCUCCCUGCCCCCCCUCACCCUCCUCUACCUCGGGGGGCUGGGAGGGGCCCCCAAGCUCUCCCGGCCCAAGAAGCCAAGUCCUGAGCGGCUCCGGAGACUCACCCACCGCACGGGCCGGGCCUGACCUCUCCCCUCGAAGGGUUGUUGACUGCCUGGGCUGAGACCAGGUGAAACUCUGGACAAGUGACAGCUGCUCCUGGAUGCCUGGGUUCUCCCCAGCUCUGCAGGGAAGGAUGGGCUGGGGGGCCAGGGACCCCAGACACCUGGGUCCUGUGAAGACAGGGGGUCUGGGGGCCCGGACACCUGGGUUCUCUGGGGGGGGUGAGAGCAGGGGGGCCUGGGGGCCCGGACGCCUGGGUUUAUUGCCUGGUUCCUACCUCAGCUGUACAGAGUCAUUGGUGCCUUUAACUUAUCUCGUCCCUGGGUCUGUCCAGGCUGUUGUGGGCGGGGCCAUAUUUACAUAUGCAGUUUUUUAGGGGAGGGGCCAUAAACUCCCAUUUGUAAUAAAAAGCCUUAAAAUGUUAAUAAGCGCG